GCCCAUAUAGCUCAGUUGGUAGAGUGCGUCCUUGGUAAGGACGAGGUCACCGGUUCAAAUCCGGUUAUGGGCUCCA
rnacentral:tRNA from 1 species